GAUGAACGCUGGCGGCGUGCUUAACACAUGCAAGUCGAACGGGAAGGCCCAAGCUUGCUUGGGUACUCGAGUGGCGAACGGGUGAGUAACACGUGGGUGAUCUGCCCUGCACUUCGGGAUAAGCCGGGGAAACUGGGUCUAAUACCGGAUAGGACGAUGUUUUGGAUGCCAUUGUGGAAAGUUUUUUCGGUGUGGGAUGAGCUCGCGGCCUAUCAGCUUGUUGGUGGGGUAAUGGCCUACCAAGGCGUCGACGGGUAGCCGGCCUGGGAGGGUGUACGGCCACAUUGGGACUGAGAUACGGCCCAGACUCCUACGGGAGGCAGCAGUGGGGAAUAUUGCACAAUGGGCGCAAGCCUGAUGCAGCGACGCCGCGUGGGGGAUGACGGCCUUCGGGUUGUAAACUCCUUUCGCUAGGGACGAAGCGUUUUUGUGACGGUACCUGGAGAAGAAGCACCGGCUAACUACGUG
rnacentral:rRNA from 1 species